rnacentral:misc_RNA from 1 species
UUUCCGUAGGUGAACCUGCGGAAGGAUCAUCAACAAAUCCAACCAAACCCAACCACACCAAUGUGAACCGUUUUCGCUCUCUUGCGUUUUUUUCUUUUUUUCCUCUUUCGGGGGGAUUUAAGGAGAAGGCGCAGGACGAGUUAUUUUAUCAAAAAAAAUAUUCACCCCAUACCAUUCUCGUACAUCGAGCCUAAGUUAUUACGUUUUUUUUCUUUCUUUUUCCUUUUUGGAAAAAAAGAAAAAAAAAGUUAUGUAUUAAAAUACAAAAAAAAUUAAGACACAACUUUUAACAACGGAUCUCUUGGCUCUC